CACUCCUGCGGGAGGCAGCAGUGGGGAAUUUUGGACAAUGGGCGAAAGCCUGAUCCAGCAAUGCCGCGUGAGUGAAGAAGGCCUUCGGGUUGUAAAGCUCUUUUGUCAGGGAAGAAACGGUGAGAGCUAAUAUCUUUUGCUAAUGACGGUACCUGAAGAAUAAGCACCGGCUAACUACGUGCCAGCAGCCGCGGUAAUACGUAGGGUGCAAGCGUUAAUCGGAAUUACUGGGCGUAAAGCGUGCGCAGGCGGUUUUGUAAGUCUGAUGUGAAAUCCCCGGGCGCAACCUGGGAAUUGCAUUGGAGACUGCAAGGCUAGAAUCUGGCAGAGGGGGGUAGAAUUCCACGUGUAGCAGUGAAAUGCGUAGAUAUGUGGAGGAACACCGAUGGCGAAGGCAGCCCCCUGGGUCAAGAUUGACGCUCAUGCACGAAAGCGUGGGGAGCAAACAGGAUUAGAUACCCCAGUAGUCCCAUGAU
rnacentral:rRNA from 1 species